CCCUUAGAUGCUCUGGGCCGCACGCGCGCUACACUGGUCGAUGCAACGAGUUUCUUUCCUUGGCCGACAGGCCUGGGCAAUCUUUGAACAUCGAUCGUGAUCGGGAUAGAUUCUUGUAAUUUUUGAUCUUAAACGAGGAAUUCCUAGUAAACGCAAGUCAUCAGCUUGCAUUGAUUACGUCCCUGCCCUUUGUACACACCGCCCGUCGCUACUACCGAUUGGAUGGUUUAGUGAGACCCUCGGAUCGGUCCCGACUCGGGGUGGGCUUCUGCCCCGGUCGUGGUUUCGCCGAGAAGACGGUCAAACUUGACUAUCUAGAGGAAGUAAAAGUCGUAACA
rnacentral:rRNA from 1 species